GUAGUUGGGCGCUAGUGUGGGUCCCUUCCCGGGGUCCGUGCCGCAGCUAACGCAUUAAGCGCCCCGCCUGGGGAGUACGGCCGCAAGGCUAAAACUCAAAGGAAUUGACGGGGGCCCGCACAAGCGGCGGAGCAUGCGGAUUAAUUCGAUGCAACGCGAAGAACCUUACCAAGGCUUGACAUGCACCGGACGACUGCAGAGAUGUGGUUUCCCUUUGUGGCUGGUGCACAGGUGGUGCAUGGUUGUCGUCAGCUCGUGUCGUGAGAUGUUGGGUUAAGUCCCGCAACGAGCGCAACCCUCGUUCUAUGUUGCCAGCGGUUCGGCCGGGGACUCAUAGGAGACUGCCGGGGUCAACUCGGAGGAAGGUGGGGAUGACGUCAAAUCAUCAUGCCCCUUACGUCUUGGGCUUCACGCAUGCUACAAUGGCCGGUACAAAGGGCUGCGAUCCCGUGAGGGGGAGCGAAUCCCAGAAAGCCGGUCUCAGUUCGGAUUGGGGUCUGCAACUCGACCCCAUGAAGUCGGAGUCGCUAGUAAUCGCAGAUCAGCAACGCUGCGGUGAAUACGUUCCCGGGCCUUGUACACACCGCCCGUCAAGUCACGAAAGUCGGUAACACCCGAAGCCCGUGGCCCAACCCCUUGUGGGAGGGAGCUGUCCAAAGUGGGACUGGUGAU
rnacentral:rRNA from 1 species